rnacentral:rRNA from 1 species
AAAUUGAAGAGUUUGAUCAUGGCUCAGAUUGAACGCUGGCGGCAGGCCUAACACAUGCAAGUCGAGCGGUAGCACAGAGAGCUUGCUCUCGGGUGACGAGCGGCGGACGGGUGAGUAAUGUCUGGGAAACUGCCUGAUGGAGGGGGAUAACUACUGGAAACGGUAGCUAAUACCGCAUAAUGUCGCAAGACCAAAGUGGGGGACCUUCGGGCCUCAUGCCAUCAGAUGUGCCCAGAUGGGAUUAGCUAGUAGGUGGGGUAACGGCUCACCUAGGCGACGAUCCCUAGCUGGUCUGAGAGGAUGACCAGCCACACUGGAACUGAGACACGGUCCAGACUCCUACGGGAGGCAGCAGUGGGGAAUAUUGCACAAUGGGCGCAAGCCUGAUGCAGCCAUGCCGCGUGUGUGAAGAAGGCCUUCGGGUUGUAAAGCACUUUCAGCGGGGAGGAAGGCGGUGAGGUUAAUAACCUCAUCGAUUGACGUUACCCGCAGAAGAAGCACCGGCUAACUCCGUGCCAGCAGCCGCGGUAAUACGGAGGGUGCAAGCGUUAAUCGGAAUUACUGGGCGUAAAGCGCACGCAGGCGGUCUGUCAAGUCGGAUGUGAAAUCCCCGGGCUCAACCUGGGAACUGCAUUCGAAACUGGCAGGCUAGAGUCUUGUAGAGGGGGGUAGAAUUCCAGGUGUAGCGGUGAAAUGCGUAGAGAUCUGGAGGAAUACCGGUGGCGAAGGCGGCCCCCUGGACAAAGACUGACGCUCAGGUGCGAAAGCGUGGGGAGCAAACAGGAUUAGAUACCCUGGUAGUCCACGCUGUAAACGAUGUCGAUUUGGAGGUUGUGCCCUUGAGGCGUGGCUUCCGGAGCUAACGCGUUAAAUCGACCGCCUGGGGAGUACGGCCGCAAGGUUAAAACUCAAAUGAAUUGACGGGGGCCCGCACAAGCGGUGGAGCAUGUGGUUUAAUUCGAUGCAACGCGAAGAACCUUACCUGGUCUUGACAUCCACAGAACUU